rnacentral:rRNA from 1 species
CAGGCGUCCGAGUUGUAAUCUAUAGAGGCGUUUUCCGCGCCGGACCGCGUCCAAGUCUCUUGGAAUAGAGUAUCAAAGAGGGUGACAAUCCCGUACUUGACGCGACAACCGGUGCUCUGUGAUACGUUCUCAAUGAGUCGAGUUGUUUGGGAAUGCAGCUCUAAAUGGGUGGUAAAUUCCAUCUAAGGCUAAAUAUUGGCGAGAGACCGAUAGCGAACAAGUACCGUGAGGGAAAGAUGAAAAGCACUUUGGAAAGAGAGUUAAACAGCACGUGAAAUUGUUAAAAGGGAAACGAUUGAAGUCAGUCGUGUGAAAGGUAUUCAGCCGUCUCUGGCGGUGUAUUUGCCUUUCACGGGUCAACAUCAGUUUGAUCCGGUAGAAAAAGGCGGGAGGAAGGUGGCACCCUCGGGUGUGUUAUAGCCUCCUGUCAUAUGUGCCGGACCAGACUGAGGAACGCAGCUUGCCGCAAGGCCGGGGUUCGCCCACGUACAAGCUUAGGAUGUUGACAUAAUGGCUUUAAACGACCCGUCUUGA